rnacentral:lncRNA from 1 species
CGGAGUGCUGUAACUGCUCGGUACUAGCCCUGAAGUGGAACCCGAGGCAGCCCAAAAAAAUAAAAUAGCCUUCAUCUCCCUUAACAUGGUGACUGUAGCUGUUCCAUAUGGAAAAGGACAAUGCUGGUGCAUGCUCUAGAAGCUGUGUGCAAGGCAGGUGGCUAUCCUGGGCAGUCGCUGCUGUGGCCAUAGUGCAGCAGAAAUGGAGUGUGGGAAGGUCUCUCAACCCGUGUAAUGCUUCACAAGUCACUCUGGACAAGGAUUACUGGGAGGAAACCUCAAGGCACACCAAGGUUCUAAAUCCACUAAACCAAGAUGUCAGAGUAAGAGAAAAGGAAGAGGGCAAUCACUGCCCGCCGGCAGCAUCUGAAGGUA